GGGGGGGGGGCGGGGGCCGUAGACGUAUCAACCCAACUGCAUUACAUAGUCCUUCAGAAUUGUUAAGUGCUGACUGCCCUGUUCAUAGGACUAAAGGGGGCAAAGUGCAAAGAGGAUUGUGAUGCGCUCCUAUAAUGAAUCUUUCAGUGAAGAAUAGAGGGUGUGAGGUUUGGACCACUCUGAAGGCAGCGAGGGUGUGAGGUUUGGACCACUCUGAAGGCAGCGAGGGUGUGAGGUUUGGACCACUGAAGGCAGCGAGGGUGUGAGGUUUAGACCACUCUGAAGGCAGCGAGGGUGUGAGGUUUAGACCACUCUGAAGGCAGCGAGGGUGUGAUUUGGGACAGAACGCUGUCAGUGUUGACAGCCAUGGAGACUGUAGACGGAGGUGCUUCAGCAUGUAUGCAAGACAGUGCCCUCAUUGCUCUGCGUUAGGUCCGUCUUCCUUCAAAAGUCCGCCCGACACACUCGCUCGCUCACACACACACACACACACACACACACACACACACACACACACAAGUGAUGAGCGUGAGGUUAGGUUCAGUCCAGCGCUAUGAAACAGGAAGCCCGGGAAUGCUGCACCAAAGACUAGUCUACACUAGCAAACUAGAAAUCAGACGAGUUGAGAACACACACAAAAACACCUCUGAGAUGUAGAGCCGUCUUUUUGUUUGUUUGCUUUGGUUUUUGUUCAUUUAUCUUCGUUGUUAUUUACCUGUCCUUAUCUUGUAGACUUAGAUAUGACCCAGACCUCAACGUGUAGGUGUUUGUACCUGUGCCAGAAUGGAAGAAUGAUGAUGAUGAUGAUGAUGAUGGCUUACACUGCUUCAGUUUGCUCUGCUGAUCACAGGGCCUCACUCCCCGGUCGCAGCUAACUUUGGGUCCAAGUGGUGUGCGUGUUGCAUGGAUCAAACCGAGAUUUUCACUAGGUUUCGUCAGUGCCGAACGUCACUGCUCAUAAAUAUGUAACGCCUGUGCCAAUGACAGGAGCUUUUCUCUCUCUGAGUUGUAUUUCUUGUAUAUUUUCAUUGUUGUGCCAUGUUGAAAUGUAGUAUUUAGACAAAUGACGGUAUUGGAAGAGGAUGGUCACAGGAAGGCUGAAGGUGGUAUUUGAUGAAGCAAAGACAAGUGUGUGUAAGGAAACAUUUAAUUGUACAAGAUAGAUGUGAAAAUCAAAUAGAAUGAAGAAUGAAGGCACUCUCCUAACAAUCAGCAGAGGCUCUUAAACUACCUUCUCAUCUCUCUGUAGCAUUUUAGCCAGCCUGCCCCUAAACCAUCACUGAAAGAGCACUGUGCACUUAGUGUCUUCACGUUUGUUUAUUCAUUGGCUUACACACGCUUGGGCGUGUGUGUGUGUGUGUGUGUGUGAAGAUCAAAUUAACCGAUCAAAAUGAAGUCAAACACAAAACCUGGCUUUUGUUUACACAUUCUGUUCUUAAUACUUGAAUCGGGAGCGUGGAUGAAGCUGCUUUUGUGACGAGGGCAUGCUAAGGGAAGGGGGAAAAAAUGAAUAAAAAUAAAUAAAAGAACAAGCUUUCAGGAAUGGCUGAAACAACAGAACCAAACUGGUGAAAGAUUAGAGAAGUGAUCAUGUUCUAACUUCUGAGUCCCUGAAACCAAAGCUUAACAUCUGCGACAGAGGGCGGGGGAUUCUCACAGACACAAUGUCACACGUUGGAAAUAUGGUCUAGUUGCACUGACUAGUACGAGUUAGAAUCACUUUCAGUGAAGAAACCACAUAAACAGACAUGUUCCUCCUUAAAGCCACAAAUAAAUAAAUAAAUAUCAUGGGUACAUUUGAAUGUCUUGGUAAGGAUCUGCAGCUCAAAUGUUAAUGUAAAAAAAGGCUGAUUUAACUAAGCUAAGGCUGAACUGUGUGCAAUGGUUUUCAAGUCGGCUUACUAUUUAUGUGGUACUAACCAUGAAAGAACAUGUGUUUAAAAUGUGCUAACAUGAAGGUUUAACAUGAAGUACACAUAAAAAAACCACAUAUAAAUAUAUAGCUUUUGUUGGGUGUCCCAGUCGACACCAAAUAGUCUGACAGUAUCUCCCUCCAUCUCACCAUGUCCUUACUAACCAGAUAGGCCAGCUAAUGGGAUCCGCUCCCAUGGGGAAAGAUCAAAGCCAGCCUUUUAGACAGGUUGUUUGGGGUUUCCAUGGCGAUCAUUGGUCUUUGUUAUUGCUAAUUUCAUAGUCCAGGAUGCACACUAACACCAUGCAACGGACAGAGUGGUCAUCCUCAAGCUUUUAGGCAGAGCCCACCAUGCAGUAGAAAAAAUUCUCUGUGAUGGCCCCUUGUCAUACACAUACACACAAACACACACACACACACAGACCAAACAAACCCUUCCACAACCCUGUGUCUGUGUUUUGUCUUCAGGUGGUGCCAUAAUUUGUCAUUAGCCAAGCUAGUUGCUAGCAAAUCCCAGCCACAAGCAAAGAGCCCGGUUUGAACACCACAGCUCCGAGGUGCCUCAAAAGUGGGCUGUUCAAUCCGAGGUGUUUGAGGCCUCUGGAUGCUUUUACAGGAUGAUUAUUGACUCGGAAACACCACAUGGACAACAUCAGUUUGGUUCAUUCAUCAGCCUUAUCUUAACCCUUCCACCUGUACAUAAACACUUUAAUCAGGGCCAUCAUUCUGAUUGAGCUUUAGGGUUGGCACACCUUUGCAGACUAAUAGGGGGAAAUGUCUCUUGGAUCACUGAAGGAAAUACUUACUGGUUUAGGGUUUGUUUCUUCCCCGCUGAGGUAAACGGGGCAUCAGUGCCCUCAAGGGAAGUCAUAAGUUGCAUGUAUAGUCACAUCUUGCAUUGGCUGUGUGUGUGUGUGUGUGUAAUGUCUUCGAAUGUGGCACAUUUGAAAGUUAUGCAAAACUUAAGAUAGAUUGUCUCAUUUUUUUUCUUUGUUUUUUAUUUUCUUUUUGUUAACAGUGUAAGCUUCACUUCUGUAAAUAUUUGUGUACAAAUCAAAUAUAUUUACUACUCUGUACAUACAUGUGAUGAUAUAUUGUAUUAUUUUGCUUUUCGUAAAGCAGCUAGUUGUUGUAUAUGUAAAACAUACAAAUGGUAUUAUUGUUAUAGUUAUUAUUAUUAUAAUUAUUAUUAUAGUGUUGUUAAUGAUCGCAGCCAUCACAUCACUCCGUUGUGUUAUUAGCUAAAGCCGAAGAACAGCCAUUUUAAUAUGAAAUACACAGCAGUGAACUCUGAACUCUCUUUGUAUGAUAUGUUGUGUCAUCGUCUUAUUUUACAUUCACAGAUGUCACACUAAUAAAACAACUUCUGCCCACCUCAUGUCUGGCAAAUGCCUCAUGAUAUACAGUACAAGGGAAAUGUUACGUAGGGUAUUUUUUCAUUCUUUUAUUAGAUUACAUCGGAAUAUCCUGUGUUUAUCCCAAUUAAAUGACUGCAGAAGAGACCAAUCCACUGUAUUCAAAUGUAUGCGCUGUCCACUACCAAAUCAUCAUGAAAAAAUGGUAUCUGUCAGUCAUGGUGAAAUAUCAUUUCUCUUUACAGUUGUCUCUAGAUACAAAAUACUAUUACAUCUCUAUAAGAUGUGCAGUGUUAUACAUAACAGUAUUAUACUGUUACUGUUAGUAUUAUUACUAUUUAAUAAUAAUAGUUAUUAUAAUUUAAAUUAUCAACCUAAACUUCUUCCCUUGAGUCUUCUUGCAUGAAGGUAAUCACUGGACAGU
ensembl:lncRNA